CCAGACGCACACCGCGCAUGCUCCGAGCGCGGCGCCCCCGACGCGGCGCUCGGCUCGGCUCGGGCAUUUCCGCCUCUUUGUUUUAAACUCCGGACGGGCUUUUUUCUCCUCCUCUUGGGGGGGACCCACAGGGAGCGGCGCCCCCUCCCCCCUCCGGCGCGGACCCCGCGUGCGCCUUGCUCGCCCGCAGCCCCGAGACCGCAGGCAGCAAGUUAAGCAAAGGCACAGGGCCACUGAGAAACCGAACCCGCUGCCAUCAGGCCGCUGCCUCUGCCUCAUUUGAAAAGGCUGGUACACAGUGAAAAAAAUAAUGCUUUGGAGUAAUGAUGACUUUGAGGGGCACUGAAGGACACCAUGCUGCUCAGCAGAAGAGCUGGGCCUGAGGGUGACACAUGGGGGUGCCGGCCCGAUCAGCACCAGAAUCAAGUGUAGCAGUGCCUGAACACCAUGGACCUGCCUUGGGGCCUAGGAACUCCUCCGGGUACAUCCGCCUCUCCGCCCCUCCCCUCACUGCUCACCCGAACUCCAGCGCUCUCCCGAAACGGCUCCACCUUGCUGUGCUGGCCCACAGGUGAUGGCUGCCCCACUAGCUCCCACACGGACAUGACACAGCACUCAGGGAACCUGCAUGCAGCUCAGCACUGACAGGGCGCCCUCCCAGGGACAUACUUCCUGAGUGCUUAUGCUAAGAUGCUGUGGCAAGGGCGGCCAGGACAGCAUGACCCAGUCCACAGCCAGGCCACAAUGCCCUGCACGGAUUCCUCCUGCAUCCUGGAUGCUCCGUGCAGGGCUGCUGGCCUGGCCCUCAGACACUACCCAGGAGGCCAUGUGUGUGCGUGUACAAGUAUGCACCCAUGUGUGGAUGUAGGUGCAAUGUGUGUGCAAGCAUGUGAGCACAGGUUCACAUAUACACGUAUGUAUACAUGCACAUGCAUGAGCAUGCACGCAUGUGUGUAUGUGCAGGAGUACUGUGUGUGUGCGUGCACGUGUGUGAACACGUGUUCAUAUAUACACAUAUGCAAACAUGCACACACACGAGCAUGCACCCAUGUGUGUAUGUGCAGGUGUACUCUGUGUACAUGUGUACACAUGUGAGCACGUGUUCAUAUAUACAUAUAUGCAUACACACAUUCAAGGCUUCCUCCUGCAGUGCCUCAGGACCCCAAGCAGGAGUAAAAACUUCAAUCACCUGCAGUUUGAUCUUCACAAUAAAAAACCAUCUGACUGA